rnacentral:rRNA from 1 species
AUGGCAUCGUCCCUCAAGGCAUUGCUUGUUGAUGAUAUGGCAGUUGAACGCUUGGUUGCCUCCGCCAUGCUGCGGAAGUUUCAUUGUGAGAUCACCAUGGCGAAGAAUGGGAAAGAAGCUGUUGAUAUGUUCCUUGAGGGCAACGAGUUUGAUAUUGUUGUAUGUGAUAAGGACAUGCCCAUAAUGACCGGUCCUGAGGCAGUUGAGAAGAUCCGUGCUAUGGGAGCCACCGAUGUGAAGAUCGUCGGGGUGUCCGCUGAUGAUAACGCCAUGGAGGCGUUCAUGAGUGCCGGCGCUGAUGACUUUGUGCCCAAACCAGUGAGGCCUGAAAUUCUCGAACCUAUGAUUCAGGAGGUCAUCAAUAAAAAGAAUAAUUAG